rnacentral:misc_RNA from 1 species
AACGCACAUUGCGCCCUUCGGUAUUCCGUUGGGCAUGCCUGUUCGAGCGUCAUUUAACCCUUCAAGCUCUGCUUGGUGUUGGGCGUUUGUUCCGCCUCUGCGCGUGGACUCGCCUCAAAUUCAUUGGCAGCCGGUAAGUUGGCUUCGUGCGCAGCACAUUGCGUUGUGAUUCCAGCUUGCCUCCUCCCAGGAAGCUCUUUUAUUACUUUGACCUCGGAUCAGGUAGGGAUACCCGCUGAACUUAA